rnacentral:rRNA from 1 species
AGGAUGAACGCUGGCGGUCUGCUUAACACAUGCAAGUCGAACGGGCGUAGCAAUACGUUAGUGGCGGACGGGUGAGUAACGCGUGAGAAUCUACCUUCAGGACGGAGACAACAGUUGGAAACGACUGCUAACCCCCGAUGUACUGAAAAGGCAAAUAUUUAUAGCCUGAAGAAGAGCUCGCGUCCGAUUAGCUAGUUGGAGAGGUAAAAGCUCACCAAGGCGACGAUCGGUAGCUGGUCUGAGAGGACGAUCAGCCACACUGGGACUGAGACACGGCCCAGACUCCUACGGGAGGCAGCAGUGGGGAAUUUUCCGCAAUGGGCGAAAGCCUGACGGAGCAAGACCGCGUGGGGGAAGAAGGCUCUUGGGUUGUAAACCCCUUUUCUCUGGGAAGAAAGUUGUGAAAGCAGCCUGGACGUACCAGAGGAUCAGCAUCGGCUAACUCCGUGCCAGCAGCCGC